CGAGCGAAGCGGGAAGAGCUCAAAUUUAUAAUCUGGCACCUUCGGUGUCCGAGUUGUAAUCUCUAGAAGUGUUUUCCGCGUUGGACCGCACACAAGUCUGUUGGAAUACAGCGGCAUAGUGGUGAAACCCCCGUAUAUGGUGCGGACGCCCAGCGCUUUGUGAUACACUUUCAAUGAGUCGAGUUGUUUGGGAAUGCAGCUCAAAUUGGGUGGUAAAUUCCAUCUAAAGCUAAAUAUUGGCGAGAGACCGAUAGCGAACAAGUACCGUGAGGGAAAGAUGAAAAGCACUUUGGAAAGAGAGUUAACAGUACGUGAAAUUGUUGGAAGGGAAACGCUUGAAGUCAGACUUGCUUGCCGGAGCUUGCUUCGGUUUGCAGGCCAGCAUCAGUUUUCCGGGGUGGAUAAUGACGGUUUGAAGGUAGCAGUCUCGGCUGUGUUAUAGCUUUCCGUUGGAUACGCCCUGGGGGACUGAGGAACGCAGCGUGCUUUUUGCGAAAGACUCGUCUUUUUCACGCUUAGGAUGCUGGUGGAAUGGCUUUAAACGACCCGUCUUGAAACACGGACCAAGGAGUCUAACAUGCUCGCGAGUAUUUGGGUGUCAAACCCGGAUGCGCAAUGAAAGUGAAUGUAGGUGGGAACCGCAAGGUGCACCAUCGACCGAUCUGGAUUUUUUAAGAUGGAUUUGAGUAAGAGCGCGUAUGUUGGGACCCGAAAGAUGGUGAACUAUGCCUGAAUAGGGCGAAGCCAGAGGAAACUCUGGUGGAGGCUCGUAGCGGUUCUGACGUGCAAAUCGAUCGUCAAAUUUGGGUAUAGGGGCGAAAGACUAAUCGAACCAUCUAGUAGCUGGUUCCUGCCGAAGUUACCCCUCAGGAA
rnacentral:rRNA from 1 species